CUCCUUUAAUUAAUAUUUUCUGGCACAGGUAGGCCUGGAUAAAAAUUCUGUAAGACUCUUAGUUGAUAUCAAAUUACAUCAUUUCCUUUGUCAGUAAGUUUGGCAAGCUCUACAUUACUGAUAUUUUCCUGUGUCAGCAGGAAAAGAUUACAAAUCCACAUUUUAAGUGUGAGAUUGUCUUGAAAAAAACUGGUCUUCAAAAUCGUCCUACAGAAUUUCUAGGCAGCAACCAUUUCUGCUGUAGAGACAUUGAGAGGUGUUGCCUCUCUAGACUGCUGGCAGCAGGAGCAAUGCCUUCAGCUUUGAAAGCUUAGAUAGCUGUCCAACUACAUUCUCUCUUCUUUUGCAAGAUAGUAUCUUGGCUAAAAGAGUUCCUAGUUUGUUUGUUUUGUGUUGUUUUGUUUGUUGCUUUUUUUUCCACAGCAGUAUCCAUUGUUUUGAUUAGAAAGUCUGAAAGAGAAAUCCAGGGAUGAAUUUCUGUCUUCACAAAUCAUGGUAAAUCCAUUUCUUCACAAAAACAUCUUUAAAGAGAACGACGCAAGACUGUGGAAUGGGCUCUCAGAAGACAACCAUGAGCUAAAGCAGAAACAGACUCUCCUCACCAUGUGCCUCUUCCUUGAGAAUUCUAGUGAAGGAGAUUUGUUUUAACUCAACUGCAUAUUGGUUCACAUAUUUGUGGGUGAAUCACGCAGCCUUGAUGGGUCAACAAUAAGGCAUAUCCUCAUGUGCAUCAGAGAACAUCUCCCGGAGGCUUUCCAACUGUAUUAACCAGCC
rnacentral:lncRNA from 1 species